rnacentral:rRNA from 1 species
CGCGAAGAACCUUACCUACUCUUGACAUCCAGAGAACUUUCCAGAGAUGGAUUGGUGCCUUCGGGAACUCUGAGACAGGUGCUGCAUGGCUGUCGUCAGCUCGUGUUGUGAAAUGUUGGGUUAAGUCCCGCAACGAGCGCAACCCUUAUCCUUUGUUGCCAGCGGUUCGGCCGGGAACUCAAAGGAGACUGCCAGUGAUAAACUGGAGGAAGGUGGGGAUGACGUCAAGUCAUCAUGGCCCUUACGAGUAGGGCUACACACGUGCUACAAUGGCAUAUACAAAGAGAAGCGACCUCGCGAGAGCAAGCGGACCUCAUAAAGUAUGUCGUAGUCCGGAUUGGAGUCUGCAACUCGACUCCAUGAAGUCGGAAUCGCUAGUAAUCGUAGAUCAGAAUGCUACGGUGAAUACGUUCCCGGGCCUUGUACACACCGCCCGUCACACCAUGGGAGUGGGUUGCAAAAGAAGUAGGUAGCUUAACCUUCGGGAGGGCGCUUACCACUUUGUGAUUCAUGACUGGGGUGAAGUCGUAACAAGGUAACCGUAGGGGAACCUGCGGUUGGAUCACCUCCUUA